UAUCUUUGUCCUAAGUCAAACUUGUCUAACAUUGACCAAGUUCAUAGAAAAAAAAUUAUUACCUUCUACAAUAUCAAAUAAACACCCUGAUAAGAUAUGUUUCAUGAUCUAUCUAGUGAAACUAGUUUGAUGUUGUCGAUAUUUGUGCAUUUUUCUAUAAACUUGGUCAAAGUUAGAGAAGUUUGACUUAGACCAAAGCUAA
rnacentral:pre_miRNA from 1 species